rnacentral:sRNA from 1 species
UCUGAACAACAUGGGAUUUCCCAGUGCUAUGUUGCCAUCUCCACCGAAACAGAAGUCCAGCCCUGUGAAUAACCACCACAGCCCGGAUUCAACCCCGAUGGGGAAGAGGAAGAUGUUACAGUACAAGAAUGACUUUCUCUUGAUUGUUGAAAAAUUAUUACCUGUGGAAUGACUAGGAAUAUUGGAAGCAGCAUAGUGUUGACCCAUGCUGUGACCUACAAGCAAACUAAAUAGCCAACAUUUCUGAACCCCUAUGCCUCCUGUGCCAAGCUGCUCCCUGAAAUGGACUCCUUCAUCUGUACAGAUUUGUUAAACCAUUCUAUUUGCUUCUUAAUAAUAGGAUUUAUAUUAGUACUCAUUACCAUUGGACACAAUGACAUAAGUACUCUCCACAGUAAAGCAGACCUUUCACAACAGUCA